CAAGACAACUUUACGGAGUUGACGAUUGACGGAGCGAAGCGACGUCAAAGCGUUCAUUAAAGUCGAGUUGGCUUAGGGAUACGUUCGUUGGGUAGGGGAGCGUUCUGUAAGCCUGUGAAGGUGUGUCGUGAGGCAUGCUGGAGGUAUCAGAAGUGCGAAUGCUGACAUAAGUAACGAUAAAGCGGGUGAAAAGCCCGCUCGCCGGAAGACCAAGGGUUCCUGUCCAACGUUAAUCGGGGCAGGGUGAGUCGACCCCUAAGGCGAGGCCGAAAGGCGUAGUCGAUGGGAAACGGGUUAAUAUUCCCGUACUUGGUGUUACUGCGAAGGGGGGACGGAGAAGGCUAUGUUGGCCGGGCGACGGUUGUCCCGGUUUAAGCGUGUAGGUGUGUGUUCCAGGUAAAUCCGGUUCACUUUAACACUGAGGCGUGACGACGAGGCACUACGGUGCUGAAGCAACAAAUGCCCUGCUUCCAGGAAAAGCCUCUAAGCAUCAGGUAACACGAAAUCGUACCCCAAACCGACACAGGUGGUCAGGUAGAGAAUACCAAGGCGCUUGAGAGAACUCGGGUGAAGGAACUAGGCAAAAUGGUGCCGUAACUUCGGGAGAAGGCACGCUGACACGUAGGUGAAGUGAUUUACUCAUGGAGCUGAAGUCAGUCGAAGAUACCAGCUGGCUGCAACUGUUUAUUAAAAACACAGCACUGUGCAAACACGAAAGUGGACGUAUACGGUGUGACGCCUGCCCGGUGCCGGAAGGUUAAUUGAUGGGGUCAGCGCAAGCGAAGCUCCUGAUCGAAGCCCCGGUAAACGGCGGCCGUAACUAUAACGGUCCUAAGGUAGCGAAAUUCCUUGUCGGGUAAGUUCCGACCUGCACGAAUGGCGUAAUGAUGGCCAGGCUGUCUCCACCCGAGACUCAGUGAAAUUGAACUCGCUGUGAAGAUGCAGUGUACCCGCGGCAAGACGGAAAGACCCCGUGAACCUUUACUAUAGCUUGACACUGAACAUUGAGCCUUGAUGUGUAGGAUAGGUGGGAGGCUUUGAAGUGUGGACGCCAGUCUGCAUGGAGCCGACCUUGAAAUACCACCCUUUAAUGUUUGAUGUUCUAACGUGGACCCGUAAUCCGGGUUGCGGACAGUGUCUGGUGGGUAGUUUGACUGGGGCGGUCUCCUCCUAAAGAGUAACGGAGGAGCACGAAGGUUGGCUAAUCCUGGUCGGACAUCAGGAGGUUAGUGCAAUGGCAUAAGCCAGCUUGACUGCGAGCGUGACGGCGCGAGCAGGUGCGAAAGCAGGUCAUAGUGAUCCGGUGGUUCUGAAUGGAAGGGCCAUCGCUCAACGGAUAAAAGGUACUCCGGGGAUAACAGGCUGAUACCGCCCAAGAGUUCAUAUCGACGGCGGUGUUUGGCACCUCGAUGUCGGCUCAUCA
rnacentral:rRNA from 1 species